UACGUAGGGUGCAAGCGUUGUCCGGAAUUAUUGGGCGUAAAGAGCUCGUAGGCGGUUUGUCGCGUCUGCUGUGAAAAUCCAGGGCUUAACCCUGGACCUGCAGUGGGUACGGGCAGACUGGAGUGCGGUAGGGGAGAUCGGAAUUCCUGGUGUAGCGGUGAAAUGCGCAGAUAUCAGGAGGAACACCGGCGGCGAAGGCGGAUCUCUGGGCCGUAACUGACGCUGAGGAGCGAAAGCAUGGGGAGCGAACAGG
rnacentral:rRNA from 1 species